rnacentral:rRNA from 1 species
CCUACGGGUGGCAGCAGUGAGGAAUAUUGGUCAAUGGGCUCUAUCCUUAACCAUCCCCUUCUCUUUCCUGAUGACUUCCCUAUUUGUUGUAAACUUCUUUUAUAUGGGAAUAAAGUGCAGUAUGUAUACUGCUUUGCAUGUACCUUAUGAAUAAGGAUCGGCUAACUCCGUGCCAGCAGCCGCGGUAAUACGGAGGAUCCGAGCGUUAUCCGGAUUUAUUGGGUUUAAAGGGAGCGUAGGCGGGUUGUUAAGUCAGUUGUGAAAGUUUGCGGCUCAACCGUAAAAUUGCAGUUGAUACUGGCAUCCUUGAGUACAGUAGAGGUAGGCGGAAUUCGUGGUGUAGCGGUGAAAUGCUUAGAUAUCACGAAGAACUCCGGUUGCGAAGGCAGCCUGCUGGACUGUAACUGACGCUGAUGCUCGAAAGUGUGGGUAUCAAACAGGAUUAGAUACCCCAGUAGUC